rnacentral:rRNA from 1 species
UUGACCUCAAAUCAGGCGGGACUACCCGCUGAACUUAAGCAUAUCAAUAAGCGGAGGAAAAGAAACUAACAAGGAUUCCCCUAGUAACUGCGAGUGAAGCGGGAUGAGCUCAAAUUUAAAAUCUGGCGUCUUCGGCGUCCGAGUUGUAAUUUAGAGAAGUGUUUUCCGCGCCGGACCGUGUACAAGUCUCCUGGAACGGAGCGUCAUAGAGGGUGAGAAUCCCGUCUUUGACACGGACCCCCGGUGCUCUGUGAUACGCUCUCGAAGAGUCGAGUUGUUUGGGAAUGCAGCUCAAAAUGGGUGGUGAACUCCAUCUAAAGCUAAAUAUUGGCGAGAGACCGAUAGCGAACAAGUACCGUGAGGGAAAGAUGAAAAGCACUUUGGAAAGAGAGUGAAACAGUACGUGAAAUUGUUGAAAGGGAAACGCUUGAAGUCAGUCGCGUCCGCCAGGGUUCAGCCUCACGGUGUACUCUCUGGUGGACGGGCCAGCAUCACUUUCGAUCGUCGGACAAGGGAGUUGGGAAUGUGGCACCUCCGGGUGUGUUAUAGCCCUUCUUCGUAUACGGCGACCGGGAGUGAGGACCGCCUUUGUAGGAUGCUGGCGUAAUGGCUUUAAACGACCCGUCUUGAAACACGGACCAAGGAGUCUAACAUGCCCGCGAGUGUUCGGGUGGAAAACCCGUGCGCGUAAUGAAAGUGAAAGUUGGGAAGGCUGUCGCGGCCUGCACCGACGCCCGGACUCGAGAUUUAUCUAAGGUUCUGCGGUAGAGCGUGUAUGUUGGGACCCGAAAGAUGGUGAACUAUGCCUGAAUAGGGUGAAGCCAGAGGAAACUCUGGUG